UGUUCUGUGGGUUUAGUUGGUUAAUGCGCCAGACUUGCGAUACGUAGUCGUGGGUUCGAAUCCCACUAGAAUAA
rnacentral:tRNA from 1 species